rnacentral:rRNA from 1 species
AGUGAACGCUGGCGGUAGGCCUAACACAUGCAAGUCGAACGGCAGCACAGUAAGAGCUUGCUCGUACGGGUGGCGAGUGGCGGACGGGUGAGGUAUACAUCGGAAUCUACUUUUUCGUGGGGGAUAACGUAGGGAAACUUACGCUAAUACCGCAUAAGACCUACGGGUGAAAGCAGGUGAUGUUCGGCCCUUGCGCGAUGGAAUGAGCCGAUGUCGGAUUAGCUAGUUGGCGGGGUAAAGGCCCACCAAGGCGACGAUCCGUAGCUGGUCUGAGAGGAUGAUCAGCCACACUGGAACUGAGACACGGUCCAGACUCCUACGGGAGGCAGCAGUGGGGAAUAUUGGACAAUGGGCGCAAGCCUGAUCCAGCAAUACCGCGUGGGUGAAGAAGGCCUUCGGGUUGUAAAGCACUUUUGUUGGGAAAGAAAAGCAGCAGGUUAAUACCCCGCUGUUCUGACGGUACCCAAAGAAUAAGCACCGGCUAACUUCGUG